rnacentral:rRNA from 1 species
AAAGAUUUAUCGCUGAUGGAGUCGAGCCCGCGCCCACGAUUAGGUAGUUGGUUGAGGUAAUGGCUUCACCAAGCUGACGAUCUGUAGCUGGUCUGUAGAGGAUGAUUCAGUCCACACUGGGACUGAGACACGGCCCAGGACUCCUACCGGGUAGGCAGCACGUGGGGAAUAAUUGGACAAUGGGCGAAAGCCUGAUCCAGCAAUACCGAGUGAGUGAUGAAGGCCUUAGGGUUGUAAACGCUCUUUUAGCAGGGAAGAUAAUGACGUUACCUGCAGAAAAGCCCCGGCUAACUCCGUG